ACGGAAGGCAGCAGUGAGGAAUAUUGGUCAAUGGGCGAGAGCCUGAACCAGCCAAGUAGCGUGAAGGAUGACUGCCCUACGGGUUGUAAACUUCUUUUAUACGGGAAUAAAAAAGGCCACGUGUGGCCUCUUGUAUGUACCGUAUGAAUAAGCAUCGGCUAAUUCCGUGCCAGCAGCCGCGGUAAUACGGAAGAUGCGAGCGUUAUCCGGAUUUAUUGGGUUUAAAGGGAGCGUAGGCGGGUCUUUAAGUCAGUGGUCAAAGCGUGUGGCUCAACCAUACCACGCCAUUGAUACUGGAGACCUUGAGUGCACAUAAGGAUGGUGGAAUUCGUCGUGUAGCGGUGAAAUGCUUAGAUAUGACGAAGAACUCCGAUUGGGAAGCCAGCUUACUGUAGCGCCACUGACGCUGAUGCUCGAAAGCGUGGGUAUCGAACAGGAUUAGAUACCCUGGUA
rnacentral:rRNA from 1 species